UACGGAGGGUGCGAGCGUUGUCCGGAAUCAUUGGGCGUAAAGCGCGCGUAGGCGGCUAGAUCAGUCUGCUGUAAAAGUCAAAGGCUCAACCUUUGAAAGCCGGUGGAUACUGUCUAGCUAGAGUCCGGAAGAGGCGAGUGGAAUUCCUGGUGUAGCGGUGGAAUGCGCAGAUAUCAGGAGGAACACCAACGGCGAAGGCAGCUCGCUGGGACGGUGCUGACGCUAAGGCGCGAAAGCGUGGGGAGCGAACAGG
rnacentral:rRNA from 1 species